AACGAACGCUGGCGGCAUGCCUAACACAUGCAAGUCGAACGAUGGUCUUCGGAUCAUAGUGGCGCACGGGUGCGUAACGCGUGGGAAUCUGCCCUUAGGUUCGGGAUAACAGUUGGAAACGACUGCUAAUACCGGAUGAUAUCGCGAGAUCAAAGAUUUAUCGCCUAGGGAUGAGCCCGCGUCGGAUUAGCUAGUUGGUGGGGUAAGGGCCUACCAAGGCGACGAUCCGUAGCUGGUCUGAGAGGAUGAUCAGCCACACUGGGACUGAGACACGGCCCAGACUCCUACGGGAGGCAGCAGUGGGGAAUAUCGGACAAUGGGCGCAAGCCUGAUCCAGCAAUGCCGCGUGAGUGAUGAAGGCCUUAGGGUUGUAAAGCUCUUUACCCGGGAUGAUAAUGACAGUACCGGGAGAAUAAGCCCCGGCUAACUCCGUGCCAGCCGCCGCCGUAA
rnacentral:rRNA from 1 species